GAUGAACGCUGGCGGCGUGCCUAAUACAUGCAAGUCGAGCGAACGGACGAGAAGCUUGCUUCUCUGAUGUUAGCGGCGGACGGGUGAGUAACACGUGGAUAACCUACCUAUAAGACUGGGAUAACUUCGGGAAACCGGAGCUAAUACCGGAUGAUAUUUUGAACCGCAUGGUUCAAAAGUGAAAGACGGUCUUGCUGUCACUUAUAGAUGGAUCCGCGCUGCAUUAGCUAGCUGGUAAGGUAACGGCUUACCAAGGCAACGAUGCAUAGCCGACCUGAGAGGGUGAUCGGCCACACUGGAACUGAGACACGGUCCAGACUCCUACGGGAGGCAGCAGUAGGGAAUCUUCCGCAAUGGGCGAAAGCCUGACGGAGCAACGCCGCGUGAGUGAUGAAGGUCUUCGGAUCGUAAAACUCUGUUAUUAGGGAAGAACAUAUGUGUAAGUAACUGUGCACGUCUUGACGGUACCUAAUCAGAAAGCCACGGCUAACUACGUG
rnacentral:rRNA from 1 species